rnacentral:tRNA from 1 species
ACAAAAUGGUAAUAAAAUUUCAAUACAAAAUGGGAAGACAAUAAUCUCAUGAUAAAAACCAUUCUUCAAAUACAAAAUAUAUGGAGUUUUGUGAAAGUUUUGUCUUUUUCUUAUUUUUGCAUUAAACUAGUGAAAAUAUUGUCACUGAGUUCAUAUUUGAGUACUGGAUUAAAUGAUGAUCUAAUCUAAUUUUUAUCUAGAUUUCAAGUUCCCAUGAAAAUUCCUAUUGUACCUGAAAAUUAAAAACUAUGAAAAUCUCUGUAUCAAUUAACUGAAUAUGAUAUGAUGAGGCACAUAAGCUGAGAUUAAGUCCAGGUAUCCAUAAGCAAAUUAAAGAAUGGAAAUAAUUAUGACAAUUAUUCUUGCCAAUAUGUCAAGUAACAUCAGAACUAUUUGUAUUUAUUUAAAGUUGUAAGCCAAGAGCCUUGAAGAGUGUCUAAUACAAAAUGAUUGAUAUUUAAAAAAUUAAAAGCAUCUAUGUUGCUUAGGCAAAUUGCUUCAAUGGCCUUUUUAAACUUUGGCAUAUAGGCCUACAUUUCUACAGGAGAAUUUAAACUCUUUUUUUUAAAGAGAGAAGGAGAGAGAGAGGGAGAGAGAAGAGUGAGAGAGAGGGAGAAUUUUUUUUAAUAUUUAUUUUUUAGUAUUUGGCGGACACAACAUCUUUGUUUGUAUGUGGUGCUGAGGAUCGAACCCGGGCCGCAUGCAUGCCAGGCGAGUGCGCUACCGCUUGAGCCACAUCCCCAGCCCAAGAAUUUAAACUCUUUACAAAACUUUUAAUUGUAAUUUUAGACUUAUAAAAUUGCAAAAAUACUUAAGAGUUCCUAUAUAUUUGUUUGGCUUCCCUUAAUAUUAACUCCUUACAUAACGAUAGUGCAAUCAUCAAAAUUAAGAAAUUAAAACUGGUAAAAUUUUAUUAGGCUACAGACUUUAUUCAGAUUUCACUAUUAUCCCCAGUGUCCUUUUUCUGCUCAAAGAUCCAAUCCUGGACCUCAUAGUACAUCCAGUUGGUUUAUAGCCUGAGUCUCUACUAUCUGUGAUAGUUCCUUAGUCUUUCCUUAUCUUUCAUAACUUUGAGGCUUUUGAAGAGUACUAGGUCAGUUAUCAGUAAAAUCUCUCUCAGCUUGGCAUUGUUUUUUGUUUUCUCAUGAUUAGGCUUGGAUUAGGUUUUAUUAGGAAGAAAACUACAGAAGUGUUGUGUCCUUAGAGCGUAUUAUCAGCAGGUGUACGAUAUCGAUAUGUCACUAUACUGGUGAUAUUUUUUCAUUGCAAAAACACAACAAACAUUUACUCUAUUAACCAUCUUUAAGUGUGCAUAGCUCAAUAUUAAUAUGAUUUCAAUCUUUUUUGAGGUGCUGGGGAUCCAACCCAGUGCCUCAUGCAUGCUAGGCAAGCACUCUAUCACUAAACUACAUCCCAAUCCUAAGGUGAUGUUAAUCUUGAACUCUUGGUUAAGACAAUGUCUGCCAAGCUUCUCCACUAUUAGUUACUAUUUCUCUCAUUGUAAUUAAUAAAUGCUUGGAGGAAGAUACUUUGAAACUUUGUAAAUGUCAUGUUUUUGCAUAAAAUAAAUUUUAAUAUCCACUGCUGGGUAUUUACUGCGGCAGUUAAUAUUGGGGCAUUCUAAUGGUGAUUUUCUGUUUUCCUGAUUCAUUUACAUUAGUUUUUCUUCCAUAAGGAAUAAUUGUGUCUUCUCCCACACUUACUCAGUU